rnacentral:rRNA from 1 species
UACGUAGGGUGCGAGCGUUAAUCGGAAUUACUGGGCGUAAAGCGUGCGCAGGCGGUGAUGUAAGACAGGUGUGAAAUCCCCGGGCUUAACCUGGGAACUGCAUUUGUGACUGCAUCGCUGGAGUGCGGCAGAGGGGGAUGGAAUUCCGCGUGUAGCAGUGAAAUGCGUAGAUAUGCGGAGGAACACCGAUGGCGAAGGCAAUCCCCUGGGCCUGCACUGACGCUCAUGCACGAAAGCGUG